CAAUAGCGUAUAUUAAAGUUGUUGCGGUUAAAAAGCUCGUAGUUGGAUUUCGGCCAAGAACUACCGGCCCGCCUUCUGGUGGAGCCAGGUGUGUUCGAGGCAACUCUUGGUGUGGACAGUUGUGCUUAACUGCGCGCUGUCAACUCCAGGGCUUUUACUUUGAGGAAAUUAGAGUGUUUCAAGCAGGCAUCUGCCUUGAAUACAUUAGCAUGGAAUAAUAGGAUAGGACUUUGGUCCUAUUUUGUUGGUUUCUGGGACUGAAGUAAUGAUUAAUAGGGACAGUCGGGGGCAUUCGUACUUAACUGUCAGAGGUGGAAUUCUUGGAUUUGUUAAAGACGAACUACUGCGAAAGCAUUUGCCAAGGAUGUUUUCAUUG
rnacentral:rRNA from 1 species